UGUCAUAAUCUGGCAUCCUUUUGACUGGGAUGUGUAUAGUCCAUGGGAUGUGUAACCUGAGUUGAGGCAAGGAAAAGCUGGUGGAUGUGCUGUUUAAUUGGACCAGGGAAAGAUGGCUUCCUAACUACAGGUUUAGAAGGCUCAGUUUGUGAUCGUUUGGUCCCAUGUCCUUUGGACACAUGAUAGUGUGAUCCAUCACUAUGGGAAGCAUGUGGCGGAGAAAACUAUUCAUCAUGUAGUAGCUGAGAAGAAGAGAGAAACGGGAAGAAUGACAUCUCAGUAUUCCCACUUAGUUACAGCGCAUCAUUGCAGGGAAUUUAAGGUGAUAGAAAGUUGACGCAUGUGUUCAUCUUAUACCUGUAGUCAAGAAAAGAAAGUAAUCAAUCAAGUAUGUAUAGUUAUACUCAUCUUUCUCCAUUUUUGAAUAAUUCAGUGUGCUGUGCCUAGGGAAUAGUGCCUAACCUAGGAGAGUCUUUUCAGCUUAGUGAAAUAAAUCAAGGUCAUCCCCACACAUAUAUUCCAGGAACCCAUCUCCCAGGUGAUUGUGUAGCUUGUCAAGUUGAUAAUUGUUACUCACCAUUGUAAAUCCGCACCCUCGUUACAUGCCUUAGAAAGAAGCAAAAUCACAUGAAGUAACAUA
rnacentral:sRNA from 1 species